CUUUGCUGGAGUGCAGUGUUGAAUGUGUUGCUCGUAAAGACCGCCGAAGCUGCUAAUCCGCUGGCUGUGCUGUCUACUGAGUGCGUACUUCCUGGGAAGUUGAAUGUGGACAAUUGAGACAGCGUAAGAUCUAUCUGCAUUUCCUGCCAAUGAGCUUUGUCGGAGACGUUUGGCUCCAUCCACCGCCUAGUUUGGGAUAGUGAUCCUGGGUCAGCAUGCUUUGCUGCAUGCGCUAAGGGCAAUAGCGGCGUUCCGAAUGAGUAUGUGCUCUGUGCCUCAUCAUAAUGUGCUGAUUGCUCCAACGCCCUGCGCUUCAUCAUAAAGUGCUGUUUGCUUUGUGCUUCAUCAUAGACUGCUGUUCUGUUUCCAUUGAUUAUCCCGCGUCUAGCACGGGACUGAUACGCUGCCCAUGAGCUCUCAUGUUGUUUUAAAGUGAAUGUUCUGUGCUAGGCUCAGUGAUUUAGUGCUUGGUGUUUCUUUUGUUUCUUUCUUGUUUAUUUCUUUAAUUGAUUUCAAUGGUCAAGCAACUUUCGAAUUUGUAUUUUUGUUUUUAAUUUAAUUGUGAUUAGAGAAUUCAUGUUUUGCUUUCAUCAAACCAGUAUACAUUUGUAAAUCAAAUUUGGUUGAGUUACACUGCCGAAUCUAUUUGACCAUUUGCUUAGUGACUCUUUAUUUAAUUUGAGUUUAUACAGUGUUUUUUGCUAUUUUUCUUGGGUUUUGA